GAGUAAUUUAAUAAAAAUAAUUUUAUAGUAUGAGGUUAGAGUAUAAUUUAUAGAAAAGAUUAAAAGUUUUAUAGUGUAAUAGUAUUGUGAAAGAUUGAUGAAAUAGAAGAAAAUGAAUUUGUUUUAAAGUAAUUAUGUAAUGUACCUUGUGUAUCAGGGUUAAUUAAAAUUAUAUUAUGAAGUUAAUUAUUCUCGAUUUAAAGUGAGUAAAAAUAUUAAGAUUUAAGAUGUUGAAUAAUUUUAUUAAAUAAUAUUAUGGGAAUGAAAUGUUAAACGAACUUUAAGGUAUCUAGUUAUCUAAGAAAUGAAUUUAAUUCAGAUAUUAAUUUAUUGUUUAUUAUUGUUUAUGAAUAAUAUUUUUAAUAUUACUAAUUAAGGGGAUUAGCUCUUGAUUGUAAUUAAUAAUUAAUUUAUGUGAAUGGGAAAAUAAGACUUUAAAGUAGUUAAAUUUUUGGUGUGUUAUAACUUAUUUUAUAUGAGAUUAUAUUUAGUGAAUAAUUUUAAUUUUGUAUUAGAUUUAUUUUAAUAAUUAGUGAUAGAAUAAAAUAAUGAUUAAAUUAGUAUAAGGAAUGGAACAUUGUUAUUAAUAGAAGAAAAUUUAUAAUAAGGAAUUCGGCAAAAAUUAAUGCUCGCCUGUUUAACAAAAACAUGUCUUUUUGUUUAUUUAAAAAGUCUGGCCUGCCCACUGAAGUUUUGAAGGGCCGCGGUAUUUUGACUGUGCAAAGGUAGCAUAAUCAUUAGUCUUUUAAUUGAGGACUGGAAUGAAAGGUUGGACGAGGUAUUAACUGUCUCAUUAUAAAAGUUAGAAUUUAAUUUUUUAGUAAAAAAGCUAAAAUAUGUAUAGAGGACGAGAAGACCCUAUAAAGUUUAAUAUAUAAAUAUUUAUAAUAAAUUUAGUUGUAUUAUAGUUGUGAUUAUUAUUAUAUUUAGUUGGGGUGACUUAAAGAAUAAAUAAACUCUUUAUAAAUUUAAGACUAUUAUGUUAGAAUAAGUGAUCCAUUAUUAAUGAUUAAAAGAUUAAAUUACUUUAGGGAUAACAGCGUAAUUUUCUUUGAGAGUUCUUAUCGACAAGAGAGAUUGCGACCUCGAUGUUGAAUUAAGAAUAUUAAUGGGUGUAGAAGUUCAUUAAAUAAGUCUGUUCGACUUUUAAAUUCUUACAUGAUUUGAGUUCAGACCGGCGUGAGCCAGGUCGGUUUCUAUCCUUAUAAUUUUGUAACAUUUUAGUACGAAAGGACCAGAUGUUAGGUAGAUUAUUGUUGUUAAGGAAAAUAUUAAUAAGCUAUUUUGGCAGAAAAAGUG
rnacentral:rRNA from 1 species